rnacentral:lncRNA from 1 species
ACUCAACAGAACUUUUACCCAAACCUAGGCCAUUAUAAAUACUUAAAAGGAUAUUUUGGACCUAUUUCAGCUAUUGUGACAGUCUCUUCCACUCAAAAUUUGACAAGAUAUAUCCCUAUGUGGAAGCUGAUAAGCAGUGGAAUGACAGGAUUUGCUAGGUUAACUACAUAUUGAACAUAAUCUGAGCAGACGACGUAAGCUAGCUGAAAUGAGAUUCAAGACGAAAAAUUCACCACCACUAGAAAAUUUCCCCUUCCUUUUCCCAAUUAUAAAUUACUUUUGAUGCAUUUAGGUUAAUAGCAGAGUCCUGCUUAUUCUGUUUAUUAGAUUUCGAAAGCAUUCUCAUUAAUGGUGCAAAAAUCUAGAAGUCGUAAUAUGAAACCCUAAAAGUUGAUUUCCAGUUAAGUAAUUAUAACAACCCGCACCUAUAUAUUUGUUACACAACUCUGUAGCCACAUUCAAAUCACAAAUUAUGGAUAAUAACAACUCUUUAAAUUUCAAUUUAUUAAGAAAUAUUCACAGGAAGAAUUAGUUAUAAGCCAAUCUCAGAAAACUCAGCCUAAUUUCAUUCGUCAAUGAUUAAAAUAUAGUGCGAUGUAAACUAUGAUGUGUAUAUAAUGGUAGCAGCCAAAACUACAACAAUGAUAGCUGUGAAGUAAUGGUUUAUGCUAUCCUAAUAGUAAAUACAGGUGUUGAAUCAGCUUUGCAGUCAAGAGUUCAGUCAUUAUUCAAUAAAUUUCAAGAAAUUUGCAGUGCAAAAUAUACUAAAAUGGAAAAUACCUUCCAAAGGUUAUGAUACCAGUAUGGUCACGCACUCCCAUUUCAUUUCCAUUUCUAAAUUCAAGCAUGGGUCUGCCUGGAGGGCUCCUUGAAUGAUGAGUUCCCACCCCAUUGUUCCAAAACCUAUGGAAGACACAUCCAGGAAUCCAUAUACUCUCAUUCCUGAUCCACAUAACAAUUUCUCGCGAGUCUUGUAUCUUAUUCCCGUUCAGUUUAAACUUAUCUGUUGAUCACCUCAAAAGGCGCAUUCAAUCCACCAUCAAUCAACUCAAGAGAAUUAAAUCUAAUGCUAUGGUUAAAUCUAUUUCUAUGUAUAUAGUCAUAGGUCAUGUACAUGAGAAAGUCUAUGAAGAGACUUUUUCCUGUUAUUUGUUGAGUAUAUUCAGCAUCAACUUGUAAAUCAUUAUACGCUCUGUCCAGUAUCUUGUAUGUUACUUCAUCAAAGUUAAAGGAGAUCUCACUCAACUUCUGGCCCCACAUCAUAGCCCUCUGAGGCAACCCUUGUUUGAUUAGAUGAGACAGCAGUAAGUUGGUUGUAACCGUAUUUGGAACAAAUCCCAUCUUAAGCAAUUUAGCUGUCAAAAUCAUUGCACGGUCAAGUAUGUCAUUACAAACACCAUUCAUCAGAGUGUUGUAUGUUACUGUAUUCGGAACCAUGCCAGCAGAAAUGAGAUCAUCAAACAUCAUAACAGCUAGAUUCAUUUUCCGACUACUGCAGAGACCAUGAAGUCGUAUGUUAUAUGUUGUAAUAUCUGGGUCCCACCCACUAGUGUGCAUUCUGUUUACAAAAUUGUCAGCAUUUAUCAGGUCAAAUGCCUUGCAGUAUCCGCUUAUCAAAGUGUUGUAAGUCACAAUAUCUGCAGUUAACCCAUGUUUAUGCAUUUCCAUGUAAGUAUCUAUAGCCGACUUCAUUCUUCCCUGUUUACAGAACCCAUUGAUGAUAAUAUUAAUGGUGAAGACAUCUGGAAGCAAACCCCUCUGCCUCAUCUCCCUCUCCAACUUCAAUGCUUCAUUUAUUUUUCCAGAGUUACAAAAACCAGAAAUUAAAGAAUUAUAAGCAAAGUUGUUAGGGACAAGUCCUUUCCUUGUCAUUUUCAAAAAAACAUCAUAUGCCUCUUCAACGAAGCCAGCUUUACAAAGUCCAUCAAUGAAGGCAGAAAAAGCAACAGCAUCAGGAGCCAUUCCAAUUAUUUCCAUCUCUUCCCACACAAUCUGAGCUCCCACCAUGUCCCCUUUCUUAAAGUAUCCAUCCAGAACAACAGUGAAAGCCACUUUAUUGAUAGGAUAACCCUUCUUGAUCAUCUUAAUCAUGAGAUCCAUAGCUUCUUGGUGCCUCCCUGCUUUAGACAAACCUACGAGCAGUGAAGUACAUGUGGAAGCUGAAGGAGUUAGACCAAAUUUUAUCAUUAUGUUAUAAACUUCAAAAACUUUGUCUUCUAAACCUGCUUCACUGUAUGCAGUAAUAAUGGAGUUAAAUGCAACUACACUAAGAGGUAUCCCUUUCUCAAGCAUAUUUUCUAAUAAUUCCAAGGCUUCCUCUAAUCUUCCAGACCAACAUAACCCCGAUAUAGAUAUAUCAGAUAGCGAACAAUCUGGAAUCAACUCAUUACAGGAUAAAUCCCUCAAAAUUUUGUUACCAUCCUCUUUCAUUCCAUACUUAUAAUGCCCAGCAACUAAAAUGUUCAUAGUUAUACUAUCAGGUGCCACACCCUUGCUUCUCAUGUCUUCAUAAAGCAUAUUUGCCUGAUUGACUUCUCUCGCCUUCACAUAGCCAUUCAUCAAAGCAUUGUACAAUACGGUGUUUGGCAACACACCCAUCUCUUGCAUUCCGUCGAAGAUAUUUCUUGCUUCCACAAUGUUACCCUCCUUGCAGAAGGCAUUGAUGACCGUCCCAAAUGUAACAGUGCUUGGCUGGCAACCACUUUCAACCAUCAACCACACCCAACUUAGAGCAUCUGAAGUCCACCCCCUAACACAAUAUGCAUUGAUCAAAAUGUUAUAUGCAUAAACAUCUGGUUCGCAUCUAAAUUUCUUCAUUACAUGCAACAAACUUUCUCCAAUCCUAACACAUCCUCUUCUACAGAAACCGAGGAUCAUGACAUUAUAAACAAAAACUGAAGGACGGGGUCCUCUUUUAACCAUAUCCCUGAACAACUUCCAGACACUACCAUAAUCACCAACCCUUAUCAACAGCUUUAAAAGAGUGCUAAUCGCUGAUAAACUUGGCCAACUACCAGUCUCCCUCAUCCUUCCCAAUACAUCUAAUGCUCGUGAUCCCAUCUCUGCAUUUGUGAACGAACGCAUUAAUGAAUCAAGAACUGAAAAAUCUGACUCAUACUUAAAAUGUUCUCUCCACAUAAACUCCACCACAUCAUUACUCCUAUCCUCCCCUGUUCUCCUAAUCACCCAUGUAAGCACAUCUUGUGCUAGAAACCUCAAGUCCUCAGCUGCCAACAAAUGUGCAGCAAUGCAACUUCCCCAGAUCACACUUUCCAAAUUAUCCUGAACUAGAAAUUUGAAAAACGAAAACGCCACCUGCCGUUUCUCAAGCAUUUUCAUGAUUUCUACAAGUAUAUGAGGGCAGAAAUUAUUGGCCAGUUUCUGUAAGAGAUAACCCUUUUCUUGUUUGAUCAUUUUUGCUAUACCAGAAGCAAUUUUACGCCUCUCAUUCGAAUUAAUAACAGUGCUUGAAGCGUUAGAAAAUUUCUUGAAGGGUGAAAAUUGCUCAAGAAAAUCAAAUUUGGAAUCAAAAGAAAGAGAAUUUGAGCUCCUGUAGUAAGAAGAUUGAUGAAAUUCGGAAGUCUCUAGGGUCUGUUGAGGAACAGAGAGAGAAUGCACAAGUAGGUUUUGUGAAGUUGAGAGAGAAAGGUAGAGUGAGAAAGAGCUAGAGACCUUGAGAGUGAUAUGAAGUCGGCGCACAGUGGCAGACAUCCGGCGAGUUCGCUGGAGUUUUCGUCGGAGAUAGGACUUCCGACGACGGCUUCUGAAGAGGGAUUUGCUUGUGCUCCUGGCGCAUUCCCGGUCAAAA